UCAGGUAUUUUAUGAUCCCUUAUAAUGAUUGCUUAUGUUAUAUUUGCUUCAUUAACUCAAAACAUGGUUUUAGUAUGACACUGCCUUCAAGUGAAUAUGUGAAAUCUCAUAGGCAUGGCUAUCAAAUGUUUGAUUAAAUGUCUGUCUGAAACUUGCGAUAAUUAGUUUUUAGGUUGAUUGCAAAUGCAACAAUAAAUCUAGAUGGUGUUUUUUGGAUCUCUUGAGAAGGUUCUUUAAACAAAAGAAUUGCUUGAUUUGUGUUUCUAUUGAUAUCUAAAACUAAUAAAUUAGCUUUAUUUUGAAUCAAACGUUGGCUAUUUGAUGGAUUUUAGAGUAUUCUAAGCGGUUCAACAUUGUCACUCAACUUGCUGUCCAGAUACUUCUUCUUCUCUGCAUUGAAUUCACUGGAGGCAACAAAUUCAAACAAAUCUUGCUACCAUCAAUUGAGUAAUAGGGUUACUUCUUGACAGCAAUCAAUUAAUCUCAAUGGGCAUUGGCUGUGAUCAAUUAACCACUUGUUCUUUUGUGCACCUUAAUGGAUCUCAAUAUGUGAUCUUUUGUAAUUGCAGCCUAUGAUUGCACUUUAUAUUAAGUAUUUAGCAAGUCAUCUCUUGUCUCUGUAAGACUAACUUGCACUUGAAGAUGUUAAGCUAUUUGUCGAACUACUUGCCAAUCUUUUGUCAUCUUCUCUUCUCUUUUGC